GGAUCCCAAGGGGCUUCUGAUCAGAUAACAAUAGGCAGUCUCUACCUCCCACUGACCAAGCUUUGGUCCAGAAGGGACCAGAAAGGCAGAGCUAGACCUGGGUCAACUUUGGUCACUUCCUCUCCUCAUUCCUGAUGCUCUUUCUUCUCAAGAAAACCUCAUACACAAAGUACCAGAGGCUUGGGUGGUCCACAGUGGAAGUCUCUACUACUUUUCCUGUAUGGACAAAUCCUGGGAAGAGGCUGAGAGGUCCUGUGUGUCACUUGGCUCCCACUUAACCUCAGUGAUCUCAGUGGAAGAGCAGGAAUUUAUUCAUAAAAAAGCUGGUGGUAGCAACUAUUGGAUUGGAUUGAAUAUCCUAAGGAGCUCAGACUGGAGAUGGACUGAUGGGACCCAUUAUAAUGAAGACAGGAGCAAAGACUUUUGGGCACCAAAUGAACCAAACAACAAAGAAAACAGUGAACAUUGCGUCCACUUUUCAAAGAACAGACUCCAAUCGUGGAAUGAUAACAACUGCUCCUUACCCUUCUUGUUCAUCUGUAAAUGGGACUGCAAGUCAUCUGGAUUGUGUCCUUGAAUGUGAAGGCAGUUUCUGAGCUCUGCUGUCUCCCACACCUGAAGAAUGGACACAGAUGUCAAACAUCGUUCCAUCUACCAUCCACACCUUCUCUCUAUUUUUUACUUCUUACUUAAAGCCAAGCAUUCUGGGUCUGAUGAGUUGGGCCAAGUGAUGCUCCCAACCCAUCAGGCAGCCACAGACCCUUCUUUUCACUUCAUCAUUGCUGGAGUAAAGGCCGAGCCAUGCCAUCUACAUGCAUACUUCAUGAGACCUUCACACACACAUAUGAAUAUACAUACAUGCAUAUGUACAUCUUCUUGGUCCUCCCAGGCUUCCCACCUCUACCUAUUGAGCUAGGAAGGAAAUUUGGGGAGAAGGUCUAACACAGAACUCAUAAACUAUCUUGGUUCCUUGGGUUGAUGACUAGUUCUGGAAAUUACAAGGGCCCAGCUCAGGCUACUCCUGAAAUACUUAACCCUCAAGGUCAUUCUGGCUCCCCUCUUCCAAUCAAUUAAACAUUGAUUAAAUUACUACCCUAUGUCAGGCUCUGUGCUUAUCACUGGGGAUGCAAAGACUGAAGGAAAGCAGACCUGUUACAUCCUAAGAGGAGAUGCAGAAAAACCAUGUCAAAAUACAUACUGCAUAAUUAUAAAACAAAAGAAUAGAAUUCUAUACCAAGUAGUUAAAUACAAGGUGGUUUGAGAGUGAGAGUUCCAGCAGGUUGGGGGGAUCAGGAAGCUUCUGAGUAAAUAUGAUAAUUAAAUCCAUGGAAGUUGAUGAGAUCUUGGAGGAUUUAAAAAGUUAGGGGAGAAAACACUGAUCUGGGAGGCAGCAGAGGUCAGUGUCUGGUCUCACCAGAGGUAGUGUGGUAAGCUGGACAUAGCACCAGUAUUGGCAUGAGAAAACCAGGGUGAGAGUAAACUUCACCGAUUGACUCAGUGAUUUCAUUUUUGGAGUCACUUGGCUUCUCCGCCAUAUUUUAAUGACACUUCUAGGAACCCUACCCAGUGAAGUUCCUUAGACACGAGACUUUAUCAGAACAGUUGUCAAGGUGUUUGGGAAUCUGGUCAGAGGCUGAUUUGAUAGUCCUUGGUUUUACAAGAGGCAGUGUCAUAUGGUGUAUAAAGUGCUAAAAGACCUGAGCUGGAGGCCCUCUCUAGAAACUUGCUAACUGUGGGAUCCCAAGGAAAUAUUAUCUCAGCCUUCAUUUGUAUAUCUGUAAAAUGGGGAUAAUCACACCUGUAGCAAUACCUGCCACCUGUCCAAUUCUUGUAUCUUUUUUCAGCAUGGUGCGAAUAUCAGUCUUGACUCCAAAGGGCAAUUCUUGGCUCUCUCCAGAGGAAUUAAACUGUUUGAAAAGGCUG